GGAAUCAACGUUGAGUCAUCCCGAUCCACCCUCCUCAGUCCUCACCGAUGCGGCAUCAUGGACGCCGCCACCCGUCGCGCCGCCAGUGAGCCCAACGGCUCCUCCCUCCCCGACGCCUCCCUCCUCCUCCACACGUUCCGACGACACCUGCCAGCGCCGACGACGAGAUCUGCUAGCGCCGACGUCGUCUCCAGAUCCACCGUUCUGAGUAUCUAGCCAUCGAGAAUGGACAUUUCGGAGGGCUCUAUUGCUGUUCGUGGUAGGGGGGAAAACAAAAGGAAGUGGAUCCCUGUUGAAGAUGAUGAACUGAUCAAAGCAUUGGUUGAUGUUUCUUUGGAUCCGAGGUGGAGGAGUGAUGGGAGUUUCAAGAACGGUUACACUUCAGUACUUGAAGCUCGCCUCGCUGAAAAGCUACCCGAUUCAAGAAUUUCUGCAACUCCUCAUAUCGAUUCAAGGUUAAGAUACUUCAAGACAAAGUAUUCUGCUUUGGAGCAGAUGUUGAACAAGAGUGGGUUCACAUGGGAUCCGACCAAGAAGAUGAUUCAGUGCGAGAAACAACAAUAUGAGACACAUUGCAAGAAUAAUCCAGAUGCAAAAGGGUUGUAUGGAGUCUCCUUUCCUUACUAUGAUGAACUCUCAAUGGUAUAUUCCAAGGACAUGGCCACAGGUGAAGGUGCGGAAGACAUGACAGAUGCUGUUCAAAACUUGGAAGAAGAGUUAGUUCGUGUAAAUGCUAAUGAUGAAUAGAAUGGAGAGGAUAUGACAUCUGUAGAGACACCAAGGCGUUAUGUUGACUCAACAUCAUCUAGCUCCAAGAAGCGGAAGAAAGAGUGGAAAGGAAUGAAGACUUCAUCAAGUGACCCGCUUCUUGAUGUGUUCAAUGAAGUGAGUGGUGAUCUCAAGGUUGCCACUAUGUCAAUUGGAAAAAUGGCGCAAGCUAUGGAUCGUGAGGCAUCCAACCAAGAGAAGGCAAGAGAUGAGGAUCCACAACAAAAGCUAAGAGAGAAGGCGAUCAAUGAGGUCUGGAGACUUGAAUUUACUGGCUCAGAAGUUAUCAAAGCAGCUGGUGUGUUUGUCAGGAUGCCAGAUCAAAUGGGUAUGUUGUUUGCACUUCCAGAACCACUGAGGAGGGAAUACAUUGUCGACAUGCUACGUGAUGAAGCAGCAAGGAGAGAGAGAGAGAGGUCAAAGUGAAGGUGCUGGUCUAGAUGUUGAAUGAUGGAGCUUUGGAAGUUGCUGUUGGUUUGGUUGGUCUCAAUCUGUUUACCUUUAGUGUUCUUCAUAUGUUGCUGUUGAAUGACGGUGAAUGAUGAUAAAAACUGAAUUUUUAUGAUGUUGAAUGUUGUUGAAUGUUCA